rnacentral:rRNA from 1 species
GUUGUAUGGUUAAGUGACUAAGCGUAGACGGUGGAUGCCUUGGCAGUCAGAGGCGAUGAAGGACGUACUAACCUGCGAAAAGCGAUGGUGAGCUGGUAAGAAGCAUUUGAGCCAUCGAUGUCCGAAUGGGGAAACCCACCUGCAUAAGCAGGUAUCUUAGCGUGAAUMCAUAGCGCUAAGAGGCGAACUCGGGGAACUGAAACAUCUAAGUACCCGAAGGAAAAGAAAUCAAUUGAGAUUCCGGCAGUAGCGGCGAGCGACCCCGGAGCAGCCCUUAAGCGGCUUAGKCGUUAGGUGAACAGGUUGGAAAACCUGGCAAUAAAGGGUGAUAGCCCCGUAACAAUGGGGUGACCGCGUACCUUUUGUAUAAUGGGUCAGCGACUUAAUGUAAGUAGCYAGGUUAACCGCAUAGGGGAGCCGUAGGGAAACCGAGUCUUAACUGGGCGACAGUUGCUUGCAUUAGACCCGAAACCGAGUGAUCUAGCCAUGGGCAGGUUGAAGGUUGAGUAACAUCAACUGGAGGACCGAACUCACUAACGUUGAAAAGUUAGGAGAUGACCUGUGGCUAGGGGUGAAAGGCCAAUCAAACUCGGAGAUAGCUGGUUCUCCCCGAAAGCUAUUUAGGUAGCGCCUCGGACGAACACUACUGGGGGUAGAGCACUGUUAAGGCUAGGGGGUCAUCCCGACUUACCAACCCUUUGCAAACUCCGAAUACCAGUAAGUGCUAUCCGGGAGACACACGGCGGGUGCUAACGUCCGUCGUGGAGAGGGAAACAACCCAGACCGCCAGCUAAGGUCCCCAAGUUAUCGCUAAGUGGGAAACGAUGUGGGAAGGCUCAGACAGCCAGGAUGUUGGCUUAGAAGCAGCCAUCAUUUAAAGAAAGCGUAAUAGCUCACUGGUCGAGUCGGCCUGCGCGGAAGAUGUAACGGGGCUAAGCGAUACACCGAAGCUGCGGCAAUGCCCCGAGGGAAACAACCCAGACCGCCAGCUAAGGUCCCCAAGUUAUCGCUAAGUGGGAAACGAUGUGGGAAGGCUCAGACAGCCAGGAUGUUGGCUUAGAAGCAGCCAUCAUUUAAAGAAAGCGUAAUAGCUCACUGGUCGAGUCGGCCUGCGCGGAAGAUGUAACGGGGCUAAGCGAUACACCGAAGCUGCGGCAAUGCGAUUUAUCGUAUUGGGUAGGGGAGCGUUGUGUAAGCUGUUGAAGGUGWGCUGAGAGGCWUGCUGGAGGUAUCACAAGUGCGAAUGCUGACAUGAGUAACGAUAAAGGGGGUGAAAAACCUCCUCGCCGGAAGACCAAGGGUUCCUGUCCAACGUUAAUCGGGGCAGGGUAAGUCGGCCCCUAAGGCGAGGCCGAAAGGCGUAGUCGAUGGGAAACGGGUUAAUAUUCCCGUACUGCURCUUACUGCGAUGGGGGGACGGAGAAGGCUAGGUGGGCCUGGCGAUGGUUGUCCAGGUUCAAGUGCGUAGGCUGAUUUCUUAGGCAAAUCCGGGAAAUCAAGGCCGAGACACGAUGUCGAGCCACCAAGGUGGUGAAGUCAUUGAUGCCAUGCUUCCGGGAAAAGCCUCUAAGCUUCAGGUAAGUAGSAACCGUACUCCAAACCGACACAGGUGGUCGGGUAGAGAAUACCAAGGCGCUUGAGAGAACUCGGGUGAAGGAACUAGGCAAAAUGGUACCGUAACUUCGGGAGAAGGUACGCUGCCCGCGGUGAAGUCCCUUGCGGAUGGAGCUAUGGGCAGUCGCAGAUACCAGGUGGCUGCAACUGUUUAUUAAAAACACAGCACUGUGCAAAAUCGAAAGAUGACGUAUACGGUGUGACGCCUGCCCGGUGCCGGAAGGUUAAUUGAUGUGGUUAUCGCAAGAGAAGCCAUUGAUUGAAGCCCCGGUAAACGGCGGCCGUAACUAUAACGGUCCUAAGGUAGCGAAAUUCCUUGUCGGGUAAGUUCCGACCUGCACGAAUGGCGUAAUGAUGGCCACGCUGUCUCCACCCGAGACUCAGUGAAAUUGAAAUCGCAGUGAAGAUGCUGUGUACCCGCGGCUAGACGGAAAGACCCCGUGAACCUUUACUACAGCUUGGCACUGAACAUUGAGCCUACAUGUGUAGGAUAGGUGGGAGGCUUUGAAGCGGCGACGCCAGUUGCUGUGGAGCCAUCCUUGAAAUACCACCCUUGUAUGUUUGAUGUUCUAACUUAGCCCCRUUAUCYGGGGUGAGGACAGUGCCUGGUGGGUAGUUUGACUGGGGCGGUCUCCUCCCAAAGUGUAACGGAGGAGCACGAAGGUGGGCUAAUCACGGUCGGACAUCGUGAGGUUAGUGCAAUGGCAUAAGCCCGCUUAACUGCGAGAGUGACGGCUCGAGCAGGUACGAAAGUAGGUCAUAGUGAUCCGGUGGUUCUGAAUGGAAGGGCCAUCGCUCAACGGAUAAAAGGUACUCCGGGGAUAACAGGCUGAUACCGCCCAAGAGUUCAUAUCGACGGCGGUGUUUGGCACCUCGAUGUCGGCUCAUCACAUCCUGGGGCUGAAGUCGGUCCCAAGGGUAUGGCUGUUCGCCAUUUAAAGUGGUACGCGAGCUGGGUUUAGAACGUCGUGAGACAGUUCGGUCCCUAUCUGCCGUGGGCGUUGGAUGAUUGAGGGGAGCUGCUCCUAGUACGAGAGGACCGGAGUGGACGAACCGCUGGUGUUCGGGUUGUGUCGCCAGACGCAUUGCCCGGUAGCUAAGUUCGGCACAGAUAAGCGCUGAAAGCAUCUAAGCGCGAAGCUGGCCCCGAGAUGAGUCAUCCCUAGAGCCUCGAGCUCUCUAAAGGGUUGUCAAA